GGCUCAGGAUGAACGCUGGCUGUGUGCCUAAUACAUGCAUGUCGAGCGAGGUUAGCAAUAACCUAGCGGCGAAUGGGUGAGUAACACGUGCUUAAUCUACCUUUUAGAUUGGAAUACCCAUUGGAAACAAUGGCUAAUGCCGGAUACGCAUGGAACCGCAUGGUUCCGUUGUGAAAGGCGCUGUAAGGCGCCACUAAAAGAUGAGGGUGCGGAACAUUAGUUAGUUGGUGAGGUAAUGGCCCACCAAGACUAUGAUGUUUAGCCGGGUCGAGAGACUGAACGGCCACAUUGGGACUGAGAUACGGCCCAAACUCCUACGGGAGGCAGCAGUAGGGAAUAUUCCACAAUGAGCGAAAGCUUGAUGGAGCGACACAGCGUGCACGAUGAAGGUCUUCGGAUUGUAAAGUGCUGUUAUAAGGGAAGAACAUUUGCAAUAGGAAAUGAUUGCAGACUGACGGUACCUUGUCAGAAAGCGAUGGCUAACUAUGUGCCAGCAGCCGCGGUAAUACAUAGGUCGCAAGCGUUAUCCGGAAUUAUUGGGCGUAAAGCGUUCGUAGGCUGUUUGUUAAGUCUGGAGUUAAAUCCCGGGGC
rnacentral:rRNA from 1 species